UAAUCUGAAUGUAUUUUCAUGGAAAUAUUGUAUUAUGUUUGUAAUAUUAAAUUAAGGUGUCUUAAAAAGCUGUAUCAUUUUAUCUUUGGUGUAUUGCCACUAGUUGGCAUGUUGUGCAAAGCUUAAAUGUAAUUAUGUUUGUAUGAUAAAAAAAAAUAUGUAUUAGCAAAUGUUUGAAUGUCAUUUCACUGUCACAAAAAGUAGUUUAUAUGCUAUGAAAUAUGAAAUCUCAAUAAAAUGUGUAUUAUUUUAAACAGAAAAAGGCAUGUUUGCAUAAAUAAGGAAAUCCACAUAAAUGUUUUGCCAAUUUUUUACAUAGAUUUAGUCUGUUUAUAAACAUAUUUUCUAAAUUUAGCUACAUAGCUUUGACAAACAACUGUUCUAAUUCUACAAUAAGAAAAACUCAUCUUCAACCACCAAAGCCAACUAUUAAGGUAGUUAAAAUACUCAUAUUUUGUUUUUGUGAUCCAUUUGAAAUAAGAGUUGGUUCUCAUACAGUCAGUUAAGUAACUUUCAAAAAUUUAAACAGAUUUGUCUUGGCAUGAUUUUAUCAUAAUUUUUUUUUUUAUUUAUCAGUUUUUAAGUUUAAUAGGACUGUUUUGUCUUCUUCUGUUUAUCUAUUUACUAUAUUUUGUAUUUCUUUGAUAUACUACAGCUUUGCUAUUAUUGCAGUCAAAUUGCAUCAACUGUAUUAUCAUUAGUGAUAUACAAUUGGUGCCUUGUUUAUGAGGUUGACAAUUUGUAGAGUUUUAUUUAUGGCGUUGUUAAAAAAUGCAGGAUCUCAUCAUUUUUAAGUUGUUCUCUCCAAAUUCAAAUGCGAUCAUUUUUACCCUAAAUAUUUCAUUUGGAAUAGAUGUAGGAGUUACAGUGUAUUAAAAUUAACAGUACAUCGUCUUUAAGUAUACAUUUUAUUUGUACUCAGCUCUUAACAGAAUAGAAAUGCUCUGCAAAGCCUGGCUUUCUAUUGGUUUUUAAGCUAUGUACAAUUGAAAUUUAUAGUUCAAGACAAUGUACGGUUAUUCUAUAUUCAUGCUAUAUAGAAAUUGUUAUUUUAACACCACUUUCUUUAUGUUUCUACAUUUGACACUAACAUCAGGACAAUGCAUGUUUGUCACACUUUUUUCAGUUUUAAAUUUGUUUAGGGGUAUUUUAAUACAUAAACAUUAACCAUAAUUGAUAGAAUGUGAAAAGCUUUUUGUAAUACAAUUUAAAAAACCUUAAGUAUUUAAUUGAUUAUCAGAAGAUGACUUGAACAAGUCAGUGGCCCUUAAUUAUUAGAAUAUGAUGCACAGAACAAUCAUGUUUUUACAUUACAUAUUGUGUGUUGUUAUUGUUGUGUAGAACAAAUGUUGUGAUUGUGUUUUAACCUAUAAUUGACUAUUAAAUUUAAUUUUAAGAUCACCAAUAAAGAUCCAUGAGACUG
rnacentral:lncRNA from 1 species